ACAGGGAGCCGAUCUGACCCUGCCCGCUUGUGAAUGGCUGCAGUUAAGAAGAAAUUAACACAUCUCCUCCUAUUUUGCAAGAUAAAUGGCCUUUUGUACUUUACUUCUUCACCUUCUCUCCCUCUCUGUUCUGUAAAAGAAACUGGCAUCCAGACCCCGAUAAGAUGGUUUUUGGGGAACAUCUUCUCGGUCUGCCGGCUUUCUGAAUGAAAUCGCUCUUCCUUGCCUCACCACUUCCUGUCCCGAUUUAUUGGCCUGCCGUGCGGCGAGCAGAGCGAGCUUGGACUCGCUCUGUCUCCGAGGUUCGAUUCAGCACUGGUGUACAGAGAAGCUGAGCUUUCGACAUCACAGGAAGAAAUAGCCUUUUCUAUGGUGAUGACCAGAAGUUUUCCUCAGCACACCUCUCAGCUUCUCCUUCCAGCUUCAACACUCUGGGAACCUGCCAUACUUGAUCUCUUUGGAGAGGUAUUCUGGGACAAAUCGUCUAGAUACAGAAAAUGUUAAGAGGUAACUGGCACAGAAUUAACAGCUUUCAUACUUGGCUACAAGACAGUCUUCUCUAGUUUCCCAUAUAUUUCUUGACCUGAUGUAUUUAAGGACGUUUGAAAUCACAUUAUUUUGAAGUGUCUUAAUUUUGCUUAUAUUGGGUUGUGGAAGUUUCAGAUUAGGUUUAUCCUCUCAAGGCAUCUGAUCUUAUUGGCUCUGUAUCCUUCAGAAAUAACUGAAUAAUUGAUUUACUAGGGACUUCUCUUGGUUUUUUAGGACCUCCAAGUCUUUAACUGUUUAUUUACUAUAUUUUGUGACUUCUAUAAUCUCAGUGGGAUUUUUGAAGGAAGAAGAGAUUAAAACAUGCCCUUAGUCAGCCAUUUUGAAACCCCAAGUCUCUCUUUUUUUUUAGGUAAUAUUAUCACAGUGAGGGAACAGAAAAAACAGUUAAUACCAAUCAGAGUUUAAUACAGAGUACGGUUCUAUGAGUUAUACAUGGACAUAUAAACAGCAGUUGAAAUCUAAUCCCUAUUAGAAGGAAAUGCACAUUCUUAAAUGUGAUUAUUUUAACUUCAUUAUGAUUAAUUUUAAUAAAAUUACAUACAGUUUUCUGGAAUCCAGUUUAUCAUUAAUUAAAAUGAAAGGUAUGAUUAAUACAUCCACAUUAAAAGUGUUUUUAAAAAUUAAGCAAGAAAAAAAUACACUAAUAAAGUAAAUGUGUAUUUUAUUACUAAAUAAGGAAAGUUAAUUGGUUUGAAAUAAUUAGACAUAUCCUAGAUUUAAAUUGGGUGUAGAAUAGAAAUCCCACAGAGAAUGUAACUUUAAUUCAAAAGGUAAUACAGUGAAUUUUACAAAUCAUAACUUGAGUGUGGGUGGAAAAUCACUUCAGUUUCUUUUUUUGUUUUUGUUCUUUUUUUGCGGUACACGGGCCUCUCACUCUUGUGGCCUCUCCCGUUGCGGAGCACAGGCUCUGGACGCGCAGACUCGGCGGCCAUGGCUCACGGGCCCAGCCGCUCCGCGGCAUGUGGGAUCUUCCUGGACCGGGGCACGAACCUGUGUCCCCUGCAUCGGCAGGCGGGCUCUCAACCACUGCGCCACCAGGGAAGCCCUCGGUUUCUUUUUAAAGUGUGCAUUCCUGGUCCUCAUUUCCAAAUAUCCUAAUGAGAUUCACAAGAAACUAAAUUCCUAACAAGAAUCCCCAGGUAAUUCUAAUGAGAGACACUGUUCCAAGAGAGUAUGUACUCAUUUUACCACUCAAUAAAAGAGCUCAACAGAAAUAGUUAAUCAGAUUUGAUAAUGCUGCAGCAAUGCUAACUAUGAGAGUAAUAGUAAUAAUUACAAUUACAAGAGCAAACAAAUUAAUAGCUUUAUAGUUGUCAGUCUGCUAUGAACUUUCUUUUAAUGGUUUCUACCAAUCCUUAUAAAAAUCUGAGUUCCUACAAAUUAAGUUUAUACUUCUGAUAAAGAAUUUAGUCUAAGAAAAGAGAAGCUAUUUGUCUAUGUCCUGUAAGUAGCAAGCAUCAGCACUCUCUCACAGCAGAGACUUCUCCCAUAAUCCUCCCUGCUAGGCACUUCUAUUUAAAAUCAUAAUUUUAAUAGUGCAAGUUGAAAACAACAUAUAUUUAUAUAAUUACUAUGUACCAUGUUAAUGUAUCACAUGACUAAUAGAAAGACACCUUUCUGAUGUUGAUUCUUCCCAUACAAGAACAAGGUAUUUACUUCCAUUAGUCAUAUCUUUUUUGAAGACUCUCCAUAAUGCUUCACUAUUUUAUCUAUUGAAUUUCUAAAAUGUAUUGAAUGAGUUAUUUCUAAAUAUGUAAAUUUUUGUUCUAUUGUAACAGAGUUUUUUUUUUUCUUUCUAUGAUGUUUCUUAUCAAUUUUUAUUAGGAGAAGUAAUUUUGGUAGAUGAUUAGAUCACCAAUUUAACACAUUGCUUAUUUUAAUUUUUUGUUACAUUACUAAAAUUUUCUAGGUAAUGUAUCUGUAAAUUGUUAAAAUUUUAUACCACUUAUGCCUCUCAUAUAAUCAUAUGAU